UACGUAGGGUCCGAGCGUUGUCCGGAAUUACUGGGCGUAAAGAGCUCGUAGGUGGUUUGUCGCGUUGUUCGUGAAAACUCACAGCUCAACUGUGGGCGUGCGGGCGAUACGGGCAGACUAGAGUACUGCAGGGGAGACUGGAAUUCCUGGUGUAGCGGUGGAAUGCGCAGAUAUCAGGAGGAACACCCGGUGGGCGAAGGCGGGGUC
rnacentral:rRNA from 1 species